GUCUACGGCCAUGUCACUCUGAACAAGCCCGAUCCUGUCUGAUCAUGGAAACUAAAUAGGGUCGGGCCUGGUUAGUACUUGGAUAGGAGACCACCUAGGAAGACCAGAUGCGUAACUG
rnacentral:rRNA from 1 species